GCCGCUGUAGCACAAUGGCAAUGCACCUGCUUUGUAAUCAGGGGAUUAAGGGUUCGAGUCCCUUCUGCGGCU
rnacentral:tRNA from 1 species